CUGCUCGCUUCAGCAGCACAUAUACUAAAACUGGAACGAUACGGAGAUUAGCAUGGCCCCUGUGCAAGGAUGACAAGCAAAUUCGUGAAGCGUUCCAUAUUAAA